rnacentral:rRNA from 1 species
ACGUACACUCCUGCGGGAGGCAGCAGUGGGGAAUAUUGGACAAUGGGCGCAAGCCUGAUCCAGCCAUGCCGCGUGAGUGAUGAAGGCCCUAGGGUUGUAAAGCUCUUUCACCGGAGAAGAUAAUGACGGUAUCCGGAGAAGAAGCCCCGGCUAACUUCGUGCCAGCAGCCGCGGUAAUACGAAGGGGGCUAGCGUUGUUCGGAAUUACUGGGCGUAAAGCGCACGUAGGCGGAUCGAUCAGUCAGGGGUGAAAUCCCAGGGCUCAACCCUGGAACUGCCUUUGAUACUGUCGAUCUGGAGUAUGGAAGAGGUGAGUGGAAUUCCGAGUGUAGAGGUGAAAUUCGUAGAUAUUCGGAGGAACACCAGUGGCGAAGGCGGCUCACUGGUCCAUUACUGACGCUGAGGUGCGAAAGCGUGGGGAGCAAACAGGAUUAGAAACCCUUGUAGUCCCAUGA